rnacentral:rRNA from 1 species
GACGAACCGUGCAAGCGUUAUUCGGAAUCACUGGGCAUAAAGGGCGCGUAGGCGGCUUUCUAAGUCAGGGGUGAAAUCCGGCAGCUCAACUGUCGCAGUGCCUUUGAUACUGGAGAGCUCGAGGGAGGUAGGGGUCUGUGGAACUUCCGGUGGAGCGGUGAAAUGCGUUGAUAUCGGAAGGAACGCCGGUGGCGAAAGCGACGGACUGGAUCUCUUCUGACGCUGAGGCGCGAAAGCCAGGGGAGCAAACGGG